UCAGACGAUGCGUCAUGCAUAUCAAUAAGCGGAGGAAAAGAAACUAACAAGGAUUCCCCUAGUAACGGCGAGUGAAGCGGGAAGAGCUCAAAUUUGAAAUCUUCAAGGUUCUACCUUGACGAAUUGUAGUUUAAAGAAGUGUUUUCUGUUGAAGUUUUGGUAAAAGUUCUUUGGAAUAGGACAUCAUAGAGGGUGAGAAUCCCGUAUUUGACCAUUAUUUUCAGCUGUGUGAUACACUUUCAAAGAGUCGGAUUGUUUGGGAAUGCAGUCCAAAAUGGGUGGUAAAUUUCAUCUAAAGCUAAAUAUUGGCGAGAGACCGAUAGCGAACAAGUACCGUGAGGGAAAGAUGAAAAGAACUUUGAAAAGAGAGUUAAACAGUACGUGAAAUUGUCAAAAGGGAAGCGUUUGACACCAGUGUUGUUUUCUCGAAAAUCAAUUAAAAAGAGUUGGAUUUUGUGUUGUAUUGACCUUAACAGCUUGCUUCACUCUUUUCCUGCUUUUUUUAAUGCACUUUUCGUUUAACAAGUCAACAUCAGUUUCUUUUGUUGUAAAAGGGUCAUUGGAAGGUGGCUUUCUCUUCGGAGAAAGUGUUUAUAGCCUUUGAUCUCUGCAAUCGGAGAGACUGAGGUCUGCAGCGUAGAUCCUUCGGGGUUAGAUACAUUUGUGCUAAGCUACAGCUUUUCAUAGACAACUUGUUGACUAUGUUUAGUCUUGUAACUUACCCGCUUAUGCUAUUUUACCUACGCUUAGGAUGUUGAUAUGCAUGACUGAUAU
rnacentral:rRNA from 1 species